rnacentral:rRNA from 1 species
CUUGCACCUGGUGGCGAGUGGCGAACGGGUGAGUAAUACAUCGGAACGUACCUUAUCGUGGGGGAUAACGCAGCGAAAGCUGUGCUAAUACCGCAUACGCCCUGAGGGGGAAAGCGGGGGAUCGAAAGACCUCGCGCGAUUAGAGCGGCCGAUGCCUGAUUAGCUUGUUGGUGGGGUAAAAGCCCACCAAGGCGACGAUCAGUAGCUGGUCUGAGAGGACGAUCAGCCACACUGGGACUGAGACACGGCCCAGACUCCUACGGGAGGCAGCAGAGGGGAAUUUUGGACAAUGGGGGAAACCCUGAUCCAGCAAUGCCGCGUGAGUGAAGAAGGCCUUCGGGUUGUAAAGCUCUUUUGUCAGGGAAGAAACACCGGCUCUAACACAGUCCGGGAAUGACGGUACCUGAAGAAUAAGCACCGGCUAACUACGUGCCAGCAGCCGCGGUAAUACGUAGGGUGCGAGCGUUAAUCGGAAUUACUGGGCGUAAAGCGUGCGCAGGCGGUUAUACAAGACAGGCGUGAAAUCCCCGGGCUUAACCUGGGAAUGGCGCCUGUGACUGUAUAGCUAGAGUGUGUCAGAGGGGGGUAGAAUUCCACGUGUAGCAGUGAAAUGCGUAGAUAUGUGGAGGAAUACCAAUGGCGAAGGCAGCCCCCUGGGAUAACACUGACGCUCAUGCACGAAAGCAUGGGGAGCAAACAG